AAGUUGACAGUAAAUUCUGACAAAUCAGGGCCCAUGUACAUAAAGCAUCUUUUUAUGGACACCAGCAUAUUUUAUCAAUUACUCUAAAUGAAAACAGAGUGCAGGCAGCUGCCUCCAGAAAAAAGCCUGAGCCAGAGCAGAAUGCUUUUUUUUUCUUUUUGUACGCCGGUUCGGAACACUGUUAAGUUUAAAAACCUUGAAGUUCAGAAAGACGCCAUGUUGUUACUCCAGCACCUUUUCAAGCAAACAGAAGGAGACGUUUAUUUUUACUGACUUGGUACUCAAAAUG